rnacentral:lncRNA from 1 species
CCCAAAGUGCUGGGAUUACAAGCAUGAGCCACUGUGCCUGGCCAAUUCUUUCUUUUCUCCUCAGACUUGAUAAUUUCGAUUAUCCUAUCCUUAAGUUCACUGAUUCUUUAUUGUGCCAUCUUAGAUCUGCUGUUCAAUACCUCUAGUCAAUUUUUCAUUUCAAUCAUUGUACUUUUCAGCUCCAAAAUUUCUGUUUGGUUCCUUUUUAUGCUCUGUCUUUUAAAUUGAUAUUCUAAUUUUGCUCAUACGUCAUAUUCCUAAUUUCCUUUAGUUAUUUGUUCAUGUUUUCCUUUAGUUCUGUGAGCAUAUUUAAGUCAAUUGUUUUAAAGUGUUUGUCUAUUAAAUUUGAUGUCUGGACUUCCUCAGGAAUAGUUUCUGUCAAUUUAGUUUGUUUCUGUAAAUGGGCCAUAAUUUCCUAUUUCUUUGUAUGUUUUGUGAUAUUUUUUGUUGAAAGCUAUAUGUUUGAAUAUCAUAAAAUGUUAAGGGGGUACAUUAAAUUCUCCUUUUUCCUCUGAGUUCGCUGUUUAUUUAAUUUAUGUGAAGGCUAUAGUAGUCCAUUUGUUUAGUGACUUUCCCAAAGUACUUUUAGGAAGACCGUUUUUUUGUGUGUGUAGUCAUUGAUAUUUCUGUUUUUCAGUUUGUGCUCAGCUAGUGUUUUGAUAGGAUUUCCUUGAAUGUCAGGAACUAAAAAAAAAAAAAAAAUCAAUCAAACAAACAAAAAUUACCUCCCCCACCUCAUCCUUGCAGAAUCAUUUUGUUCUAGGGCAUUUUUUUUCAACACCUAACUAGGCUUGCACUAAGCAUAGGACUCAGCCAGUGGUGAAACAUUAGAGUUUUCACAUGUUGUUUUUCUGAGGAUGUGUCUUGUGUGGAGCAUGCACAUGGCUUUCUAAAUCUCCCCAUAUAUGUGGCUUCUUUUGAAUGUCCGAAUUUCUCAAAUAAACUCUCCCCAGCUCUUGCUCUCAGUCCUUAGGUGGUCUGUUUUGUUUUGAUCAUAAUCUUUUCCCCUGAGAUCUGCAUAUUGCUCAUUUUUUCUUGCAUUGAUUUUGAGCUUGCCAUUUUAUAGCCUCAGUUCUGAGUGAAGUGAAACACAGAUGAAUACUUUAUGUCAGUCUUUUAGCCCCAAGGCAGGUUAGAACAUACAUACACAACAAUAUGCAAAUAAGGUCUGCUCUGUUUCCUCCAGGAUCAGGAACAAGUUUCCCGCAGGAGAAUGUGGACUUUCCUAUUCAAGACCAUGACUGCACUGGAGAGGAGGUUCAGAGAGUACAUAUGCAAAUUUGUUACAUGGAAAUGAGAACAGAAGCCUUAUCUGUAUCCUGAGGAUCUAAAACUGCUGGUAUGUAAGUUCAAUCAAUAUUUGUAGAAUAAAUGAAUGUAUAAACUAAAAACAAAGUUCUCAUCCAAUGCUUUUCUCUCCUAAUACCAAUCUCCAGAGACAGUAACUGUUAACAGUUUUGUCUACAUCUUCCCAUUUUCCAUGCAUAUACAAACAAGCAUGUAUCUUUCUGCAUAAAGAUAAAUAUGAAUAUAUGCUUUUGUUUACACCAAUGAAAGUUCUAUAAUUGCCUUUUUCAUAUAACACUUAACAUCUUCCUGUACCAAUACAUAUACAUCUACCUUAUUAAAAACAAGACAAAACAAAUUCAUAUUAUUACAAUGUAUGGAGUUACCAGAAUUUAUUUAAUUGGAUGUCUUUUAGUGGUUAUUUUUUUCUAAUUUUUUGUUUUUAUGUGUUGUAAUAUUGAAAUAAAUAUUCUUAUUAUAUAUGUAUUUGCACAAAUGUCUCCCACACCCAUUUGUUGUCUUUUGUCUUUGCUUGUGGUAUAUGCAAAGAUAAACUUUGUUUAAACUUAUAUGGUUAGGUUUACCAAUCAUUCCCUUUAUGGUUUUUGGGUUUUGUUUUCUUUUUAAAUAAUUUAAUUUAAUUUUAAUUUUUAUGGGUACACAAUUUAAUUUUUAUGGGUUGUACAUGCCUAUGGGUUACAUGUGAUAUUUUUAUACCUGUUUAUGAUGUGUAAUGAUCCAGUCAGGGUAAUUGGGAUAACCAUCACCUCAAACAUUUAUCAUUUCUUUGUGUUGGG